GACGAACGCUGGCGGCGUGCUUAACACAUGCAAGUCGAACGGAAAGGCCCUGCUUUUGUGGGGUGCUCGAGUGGCGAACGGGUGAGUAACACGUGAGUAACCUGCCCUUGACUUUGGGAUAACUUCAGGAAACUGGGGCUAAUACCGGAUAGGAGCUCCUGCUGCAUGGUGGGGGUUGGAAAGUUUCGGCGGUUGGGGAUGGACUCGCGGCUUAUCAGCUUGUUGGUGGGGUAGUGGCUUACCAAGGCUUUGACGGGUAGCCGGCCUGAGAGGGUGACCGGCCACAUUGGGACUGAGAUACGGCCCAGACGCCUACGGGAGGCAGCAGUGGGGAAUAUUGCACAAGGGGCGGAAGCCUGAUGCAGCAACGCCGCGUGCGGGAGGACGGCCUUCGGGUUGUAAACCGCUUUCGCCUGUGACGAAGCGUGAGUGACGGUAAUGGGUAAAGAAGCACCGGCUAACUACGU
rnacentral:rRNA from 1 species